AGGACGAACGCUGGCGGCGUGCCUAACACAUGCAAGUCGAACGAGGUCCAACCGGUGGCAACACUGGUGAAGACCAAGUGGCGAACGGGUGAGUAGCACGUGAGCAACCUGCCCCGAAGACCGGGACAACACCGGGAAACCGGUGCUAAUACCGGAUAUCCCCAUCGAGUCGCAUGGCUUGAUGAGGAAAUGGAUUCCGCUUCGGGAGGGGCUCGCGGCCUAUCAGCUUGUUGGUGAGGUAACGGCUCACCAAGGCUUCGACGGGUAGCUGGUCUGAGAGGACGAUCAGCCACACUGGGACUGAGACACGGCCCAGACUCCUACGGGAGGCAGCAGUGGGGAAUCUUGCACAAUGGGCGAAAGCCUGAUGCAGCAACGCCGCGUGAGGGACGAAGGCUUUCUGAGUUGUAAACCUCUUUCAGCAGGGACGAUUGUGACGGUACCUGCAGAAGAAGCCCGGCAACUACGUGCCAGCAGCCGCGGUAAUC
rnacentral:rRNA from 1 species